ACACCAAAAACUCUUAAGGUGUUGAAUGUUGCUUCCUAUCCCUGUUCCUUGAUUCAAGAUGAAUCAAGACCUUCGAUCGUUGUUGCUAGACCUCCGAUUCCAGCCACUCGUUGAGGAACCUUCCGUUCUUCAACCCCUCGGCCCUGCUGAUCUCAAUCACAACGAAUCAAACCCGAAUCCUUCUCUUCAAUAACACCGAAUCCGCUACUAGACUGAUGAAGACUUUCUCUUCUCAAUCACCUUCGCUCAGCUGAAUAUUGAUGA
rnacentral:lncRNA from 1 species